rnacentral:rRNA from 1 species
AAUGAACGCUGGCGGCAGGCCUAACACAUGCAAGUCGAAUGAGUGGCGGACGGGUGAGUAAUGUCUGGGAAAAUGCCCGAUGGAGGGGGAUAACUACUGGAAACGGGAGCAAAUACCGAAUACCAUCGGAUGUGACCAGAAGGGAUUAGCUAGGAGGGGGGGUCACGGCUCACCUAGGCGACGAUCCCUAGCUGUGAUGAGAGGAUGACCAGCCACACUGGAACUGAGACACGGUCCAGACUCCUACGGGAGGCAGCAGUGGGGAAUAUUGCACAAUGGGCGCAAGCCUGAUGCAGCCAUGCCGCGUGUAUGAAGAAGGCCUUCGGGUUGUAAAGUACUUUCAGCGAGGAGGCGUUACUCGCAGAAGAAGCACCGGCUAACUCCGUGCCAGCCGCCGCGGUAAUUC